CUUCAUCCCUUGUCUCCUCCCCUGGGAAUUCUCCUAGGUAUGGAGGGUUAGCUAGGUAGCAUAGUGGAGAAAGCAGCAGGUCUGGAGUUAGGAGAACAGGGUUUGUUGUGUAGUAAAAAUUAACUGACCCUCAUUCUGCUCCUUACCUAGGAUAGCAAAGUAUUCAUUAACAGAAUGUUCUGGACAAGAUCCUAGACAUUACGGGACUUCCACAAUGUCCCAGACAUGACCAGACCUUUGAAGUAGACCAAUAGUAUGUAACCACUUGUCUUUCAUGUCUCUACCUGUCUGCCUGUUAUGUUAAUUUGAUUAACUUGAUUAACUUUAUUAACCAAAUGCUCACAUGUAACUCAACUAUGAUCAUACCCUAUAUAAACACUGCUUAGACUCUGCUUCGGGGGAACUCACCUGACUGAGUUACCCCUAGCGCACUAGGAAUAAACUUCCCUUUGCCUGAUUUGCAUUGUCUUCAUGUGUUCCUUUGGGUGAUCAAUUCUCGGACCCUAACAUAUGGGGGCUCGUCCGGGAAUGAUACCCUGAGGACCUCCGGGACACGGGAAGUUCUCUCCCAACUUUCGUGGUGACUUUCCUGAGAGGAGCGAGAACGGGGAUGAUGGUCGACCCACCACAGACCCAACCCAUCUUGCUGUUGUUUUUCCUGCCACUCGUCCAGACUGGGACUUCCCCUCGGAGGAAGGGGGAAAAAAAGCUGCUGCUUUGAAGUUCAGCAAACCAGAUGGCAGAUAUUCUGAAAUAUUUUCCAGCCAACAAAAACUCUGAAGCUGAAAGGAAAAUGCUGUUACCUUCAUGAUUUGUUCUCCCCAAAUGUUCAAGGCUAGGUAAGUCAGUAGAUGGAGAGCUGGAGUAAUUAUAUACAGUAUAUAAUUUAUAUACAGCAAAUAAUGUCAAUCAGCCCUGGAUGAAGUGUUCAGUACCUAGAUGUCUGUGGCUUGUCAUUUCUAUUCCCAGCAAAGUAAAGCAAAGCUAAACACUCAACAAAGGAGCUGCCUUCCACUGAGAUCUUAGUUUUGCUUUUCUUU
rnacentral:lncRNA from 1 species